AUACGGAGGGUGCAAGCGUUAAUCGGAAUUACUGGGCGUAAAGCGUGCGUAGGUGGUUUGUUAAGUCAGAUGUGAAAGCCCCGGGCUCAACCUGGGAACUGCAUUUGAAACUGGCAUGCUAGAGUAUAGGAGAGGAAAGUGGAAUUUCAGGUGUAGCGGUGAAAUGCGUAGAUAUCUGAAGGAACAUCAAUGGCGAAGGCAGCUUUCUGGACUAAUACUGACACUGAGGUACGAAAGCGUGGGUAGCAAACAGGAUUAGAAACCCCAGUAGUCC
rnacentral:rRNA from 1 species